UAAUACGUAGGGGGCAAGCGUUGUCCGGAAUCAUUGGGCGUAAAGCGCGUGUAGGCGGCCUUGUAAGUCCGUUCUGAAAGCCCGGGGCUCAACCCCGGGAGGCGGAUGGAUACUGCAAGGCUCGAGUCCGGAAGAGGCGAGUGGAAUUCCCGGUGUAGCGGUGAAAUGCGCAGAUAUCGGGAGGAACACCAAUGGCGAAGGCAGCUCGCUGGGACGGUACUGACGCUGAGACGCGAAAGCGUGGGGAGCAAACAGGAUUAGAUACCCUGGUAGUCCACGCCGUAAACGAUGGACACUAGGUGUGGGAGGUGUCGACUCCUUCCGUGCCGAAGCUAACGCAUUAAGUGUCCCGCCUGGGGAGUACGGCCGCAAGGCUA
rnacentral:rRNA from 1 species